GCUCCAGACUCCUACGGGAGGCAGCAGUGGGGAAUAUUGGGCAAUGGAGGCAACUCUUACCCAGCAAUGCCGCGUGAAUGAAGAAGGUCUUCGGAUUGUAAAGUUCUUUAAUUGGGGACGAAAAAAAUGACGGUACCCAAGGAAUAAGCCCCGGCUAACUACGUGCCAGCAGCCGCGGUAAUACGUAGGGGGCGAGCGUUAUCCGGAUUCACUGGGUGUAAAGGGAGCGUAGACGGCCAAGCAAGCCAGGGGUGAAAGCCCGGGGCCCAACCCCGGGACUGCCCUUGGAACUGCACGGCUGGAGUGCGGGAGGGGCAGGCGGAAUUCCUGGUGUAGCGGUGAAAUGCGUAGAUAUCAGGAGGAACACCGGCGGCGAAGGCGGCCUGCUGGACCGCGACUGACGUUGAGGCUCGAAAGCGUGGGGAGCGAACAGGAUUAGAUACCCGAGUA
rnacentral:rRNA from 1 species